GGGAAGAUGGCUCAGUGGUAGAGUACUUGCCUUGCAUGCAUGAGGCCCUGGGUUCGAUUCCUCAGUACCA
rnacentral:tRNA from 1 species